CCUACGGGUGGCAGCAGUGAGGAAUAUUGGUCAAUGGACGAGAGUCUGAACCAGCCAAGUAGCGUGAAGGAUGACUGCCCUAUGGGUUGUAAACUUCUUUUAUAUGGGAAUAAAAUGUUCCACGUGUGGGAUUUUGUAUGUACCAUAUGAAUAAGGAUCGGCUAACUCCGUGCCAGCAGCCGCGGUAAUACGGAGGAUCCGAGCGUUAUCCGGAUUUAUUGGGUUUAAAGGGUGCGUAGGUGGAUUGUUAAGUCAGUUGUGAAAGUUUGCGGCUCAACCGUAAAAUUGCAGUUGAAACUGGCAGUCUUGAGUACAGUAGAGGUGGGCGGAAUUCGUGGUGUAGCGGUGAAAUGCUUAGAUAGCACGAAGAACUCCGAUUGCGAAGGCAGUUCACUGGACUGCAACUGACACUGAGGCUCGAAAGUGUGGGUAUCAAACAGGAUUAGAUACCCGAGUAGUC
rnacentral:rRNA from 1 species